rnacentral:rRNA from 1 species
AUUGAACGCUGGCGGCAUGCUUUACACAUGCAAGUCGAACGGCAGCGCGGGCUUCGGCCUGGCGGCGAGUUGCGAACGGGUGAGUAAUGCAUCGGAACGUGCCCAGUAGUGGGGGAUAGCCCGGCGAAAGCCGGAUUAAUACCGCAUACGACCUGUGGGUGAAAGCGGGGGACCGAAAGGCCUCGCGCUAUUGGAGCGGCCGAUGUCGGAUUAGCUAGUUGGUGGGGUAAAGGCUUACCAAGGCGACGAUCCGUAGCUGGUCUGAGAGGACGACCAGCCACACUGGGACUGAGACACGGCCCAGACUCCUACGGGAGGCAGCAGUGGGGAAUUUUGGACAAUGGGGGCAACCCUGAUCCAGCCAUGCCGCGUGCGGGAAGAAGGCCUUCGGGUUGUAAACCGCUUUUGUUCGGGAAGAAAUCCUCUGGGCUAAUACCCCGGGGGGAUGACGGUACCGGAAGAAUAAGCACCGGCUAACUACGU